UACAGAGGUCUCAAGCGUUGUUCGGAUUCAUUGGGCGUAAAGGGUGUGUAGGUGGCGCUAUAAGGCGGGUGUGAAAUUUCGGAGCUUAACUCCGAAACUGCAUUCGAUACUGGCGUGCUUGAGGACUGGAGAGGAGACUGGAAUUCAUGGUGUAGCAGUGAAAUGCGUAGAGAUCAUGAGGAAGACCAGUGGCGAAGGCGGUGCUCUGGGCCGAAACUGACGCUGAGGAGCGAAAGCGUGGGUAGCAAACAGG
rnacentral:rRNA from 1 species